UCAGCUGGAAGAGGAAAUGUGGGAACAGACUGUCCCUGCUGCUGAUAAGACCAUACGGAACUUCCCACCUUUCACACACGGGAUCGGUCCUUUCCAUGGAACGUACUGCCAGGGGUCAUUGCAAAAGCAAGAACAUCCGUCCUGUCUGCCCACAACCUGUUUGAGAAAUCUGACCUUGUCAGAUGUUAUUUACUUUGUUUGUACUGUAGAAAAGAGGAACAAAGCUUCCUGUGGGAAAGACUAUUUGGUGUGAAUUAUAACCAUUGUAAGGACUAAGAACACAAAAUCUUGAAUAGAGCUGUUAUUGUAUGGAAUACUGGAUGAUACAGUUUUUAUCCCUGUUUGAUCUGUGCCCAUCUUGUUAAAAAUUGUAAAUCAAGACCUUCCUUUUGGCAAAUUGAUAAUAUCUUUAAUCUCAGAUAUUUAAAUAUUAUGAGAACCGAAGUCAAUAGACAAAAUAGUACAGUUGAUGCAAAUGAUUUAAGGAAUAGUUCACCCAAAAUGAAAAUGCUGCCAAUUUAUUUACCUUCAUGUUGUUCCAGGCCUGCAUGACCUUUCUUGUUUGGAACACUGAUAGGAACAUUCAAGACUUGAGGGUAAGUCAUGUGCCGCUCAAGAAUCCAUGCUCAUCCUAAUCCCAUUCCCGAUGGCUUUCCUCUAAGCAAGACUUCCAGUCUGUUCCCAUGAGGAUCUUCUUUGAGAAUUGGCAGGUCUACUAAAUAGUAAAAAAACAGCAGACAGGCACUAUACUUGGCCAUUGUGCUAAUCCUGUGUGAAGGGUUUCAGGCCCUGGCGUGCUCAUGUGACAGACUGGGCUGUGAAGGAUUUGCCAACAUGCCCAGCAAUAUCCGGUGCUCAAGUUCCAGUGACCCCAACACCCUCCAAACGUCAGGCGCCAUCCACCAGCACCAUACUCACAAGCUGCAUUCUUUGUGUUUUUAUCUUAUCAAGACUAAACAUCCUGGAGGUUAUACACAGGGCAGAAUGGAGCUCCAGUGUUGUGAGCAAACAUCAUAGUGGGUACAGUGGAUGUGCUGUUAUCACACUUAACUGCUACGGGCUCCACUCCAAAACCACCCACAUGGAGAAUAAGAACUUCCGCCAACGUGGGGAGAAAGCUCAACCCUGGCAAAGUGAUCUCUUUACCUUCUGCUAUCUGCAUCUCUCACCCACAUUUAAUGAGAAGAGACUUCCGAGAUCUGAAUCAUCAGCUACAGUAAUGUUAAUAGUACAAUUUUGUAGAAACCAAUGUGUGAAUAAAAAAUAGAUGGAGAUUGGAAAUCCAGUGUUCCC